rnacentral:rRNA from 1 species
CGGACGGGUGAGGAACACGUAAGAACCUACCCCUAGGAGGAGGAUAACUGCUGGAAACGGCAGCUAAUACUCCAUAUGCUGAGGAGCAAAACGGGGGGAACCCCUGCCUAGGGAUGGGCUUGCGUCUGAUUAGCUAGUUGGUGAGGUAAAUGCUUACCAAGGCGACGAUCAGUAGCUGGUCUGAGAGGAUGAUCAGCCACACUGGGACUGAGACACGGCCCAG